GUGAACUUUCGCUCAAACCUCACCCUUCGUGUCUACAUUCCUUAAUUCUCUUUGUUGUGAGACAAAGAACUCCAGGUGACACAUCACAAUGAAAGACUGCUACAUUGUGGUACAUUGGUAACAUUGUAACAAUUGGACUGACUUCACAUAUGGGUAGUCACUGAGAAGAGGACAACUGGCUACAAAUAUCAACAGGCUUAUAAUGAUCUUCUUACCUUCAAGUCCAGUUCUUUAAAAGUCCAAAUUUGCUCUGAACUGACUUCAAGCAAGUGCCCACUCUUGAACCAAUUACCGAGGCUGGAGGAUAAAGACACAAAUUGGCCAAACUUGGAUUACCUGCCUUCUUCAUCUUAAAGGAGUCUGUCUCACCUACAAACUUAUGAGGGUCACAGAAAACACCCACAAACUUAUGAGGAUCACGGAAAACACCACUACCCCAACUUAGAGCCAAUCUAUUCAACCUGCAUUGUUAGCAGGUCACCUCUCCUGGAUAUCUGCCUGUAGUGCCCAGUUAAGAAUGGAAGAAGGAGAUUUUUCAGCUUUUGAAGUCUAUGUGCCUUCAAGGAAAUUCUUCAAAAAAGCCAAGAUAUUUUAUGAUGAGGAGCUACAGAACAGGGUACAUGCCCCACAGUCUUCAAUACUUUUUAUUAUUGUUUCAAGAAAACUGGAUAAAUUCAUUCUGAACAUCACAGACUUGAAAGUCAUUCUUACCAUGCCUUUGAGAAUGCCUAUGGUUAUCAUAGCCAUCAUCUCAAAGGAAAAUAAUUCUUUAACUAUUAUUAUAUAUGCAAUUUGGAAUAAAAAAAAUCAAGUUGCAUUGUUAUUGAAAUUAA